GACGAACGCUGGCGGCGUGCCUAAUACAUGCAAGUUGAGCGCUGAAGGUUGGUACUUGUACCAACUGGAUGAGCAGCGAACGGGUGAGUAACGCGUGGGGAAUCUGCCUUUGAGCGGGGGACAACAUUUGGAAACGAAUGCUAAUACCGCAUAAAAACUUUAAACACAAGUUUUAAGUUUGAAAGAUGCAAUUGCAUCACUCAAAGAUGAUUCCGCGUUGUAUUAGCUAGUUGGUGAGGUAAAGGCUCACCAAGGCGAUGAUACAUAGCCGACCUGGGAGGGUGAUCGGCCACAUUGGGACUGAGACACGGCCCAAACUCCUACGGGAGGCAGCAGUAGGGGAUCUUCGGCAAUGGACGAAAGUCUGACCGAGCAACGCCGCGUGAGCGAAGAAGGUUUUCGGAUCGUAAAACUCUGUUGGUAGAGAAGAACGUUGGUGAGAGUGGAAAGCUCAUCAAGUGACGGUAACUACCCAGAAAGGGACGGCUAACUACGUG
rnacentral:rRNA from 1 species